GUCCGCGGCUUCAUUCUUAAAAGCCAGCGUCUUCCUUUGUUGCCCAGACUGGUCUUGAACUCUUGGCUUCCAGAGAUCCUCCUGCCUUUGCCUCCCAAAGUGAUGGAAUUACAGGUGUGAGCCACCAUGCCCAGCCUUGGGAAAUUCUGAACACUGAAAUUAAAUGGAUAAUUUCCUAUAGAAAUUCUACAGACAGAUUCAAAUAUAUAAUUAAAAGGUUGUUCUUACAGUAAUGUGAUGGGAAAAUAAUCUCAGAUAACAAGAUCCAUGAAACACGUUGUUUUCAUCCUCUGGGCUGAGAAUACUUUUUUAAAGAUAUAAUUCAGCUAAUGGGAAAAAGAAUCAAAAUAAACAACUCAAGACUUGGUAACUUUUUUCUCUAAAAAAGUAAAAGAAAUAUGGGUUAACACUGAGAUUCAGUUAAACAGAGA
rnacentral:lncRNA from 10 species